rnacentral:rRNA from 1 species
UACGAAGGGGGCUAGCGUUGCUCGGAAUCACUGGGCGUAAAGGGUGCGUAGGCGGGUUUUUAAGUCAGGGGUGAAAUCCUGGAGCUCAACUCCAGAACUGCCUUCGAUACUGGAAGACUCGAGUCCGGGAGAGGUGAGUGGAACUGCGAGUGUAGAGGUGAAAUUCGUAGAUAUUCGCAAGAACACCAGUGGCGAAGGCGGCUCACUGGCCCGGUACUGACGCUGAGGUGCGAAAGCGUGGGGAGCAAACAGG